rnacentral:rRNA from 1 species
AGAGUUUGAUCCUGGCUCAGAGUGAACGCUGGCGGCAGGCCUAACACAUGCAAGUCGAACGGCAGCACAGGAGAGCUUGCUCUCUGGGUGGCGAGUGGCGGACGGGUGAGGAAUACAUCGGAAUCUACCUUUUCGUGGGGGAUAACGUAGGGAAACUUACGCUAAUACCGCAUACGACCUUCGGGUGAAAGCAGGGGACCUUCGGGCCUUGCGCGAUUAGAUGAGCCGAUGUCGGAUUAGCUAGUUGGUGAGGUAAAGGCUCACCAAGGCGACGAUCCGUAGCUGGUCUGAGAGGAUGAUCAGCCACACUGGAACUGAGACACGGUCCAGACUCCUACGGGAGGCAGCAGUGGGGAAUAUUGGACAAUGGGCGCAAGCCUGAUCCAGCCAUGCCGCGUGGGUGAAGAAGGCCAUCGGGUUGUAAAGCCCUUUUGUUGGGAAAGAAAAGCAGUCGAUUAAUACUCGAUUGUUCUGACGGUACCCAAAGAAUAAGCACCGGCUAACUUCGUGCCAGCAGCCGCGGUAAUACGAAGGGUGCAAGCGUUACUCGGAAUUACUGGGCGUAAAGCGUGCGUAGGUGGUGGUUUAAGUCCGUUGUGAAAGCCCUGGGCUCAACCUGGGAAUUGCAGUGGAUACUGGGUCACUAGAGUGUGGUAGAGGGUAGCGGAAUUCCCGGUGUAGCAGUGAAAUGCGUAAAGAUCGGGAGGAACAUCUGUGGCGAAGGCGGCUAC